UCGGUUUACCAAGCCAGGACGCGGCCGCCUUCCUCACGUAAUCCCCUCAAUUAGAAGGCACUUCAGCCUGAAGAGGGGCGACUGAGCUAAUACACAUUUCCUAUGAAUUGGACAAGAGUCAGCCGGAGGAGUCAGGUUUCCAAAUCUAUCGCCUCUGAUUUCAGCCAGAGCCCGAGGCAACACAGCUCCAGUCGUGACUCAGGAUUCUGUGAGUGAAAGCAAGCACGUCAAGUGAUGUCACGGUGCAGGGAGGCUGGAACUCUAGUGGGAAGUCCGACGAGAUCCCGGACUGGAUUACAGGCACCUGCCUCCAUGUCAGCUCUUCAGCUGUGGCUCCCAUCACAAAGCCACAAAUUCUGGCCACUCCAGGGAGUCCUCCGCUCCUCCUUGCCCUCAACGGAGCAGAUUCUCAAAGGCAUUCAGUGGAUUGCUUUCCCCCAAUCAUCUUUUGCAAGAAAUGCACCUCACAUUCCAGCUAUCCAGGGAACCAGGUGUGGCAACUCGUGACUUCUUGGCCUACCUGUCCGAACGUCCUGGCCUACGUGAUGAACCUGAACCACGUGACUUGGAACACGCGGCAAAAAUCUCAUUUCCCUACCCCCCAAGCCCUCAUUCAGGGGCUAUAUAAACAGCAACCAUGAUCCUAAUAAAGGGGGCUUUGACAAAUCUGCUUGGCCUCAUUCUUCUGUCCUAGCUCAUUCCCUUCCAGGUAGCGCCCCUUCGAGACCCUGGAAUAACUGAUUGCAGGGUGGGUUACAAACCCCUAGACUGAGUAACCCACCCAACGCAA